CCACGGGUGAGUAACACGUAUCCAACCUGCCGUCCACUCUUGGACAGCCUUCUGAAAGGAAGAUUAAUACAAGAUGGCAUCAUGAGUUCACAUGUUCACAUGAUUAAAGGUAUUCCGGUAGACGAUGGGGAUGCGUUCCAUUAGAUAGUAGGCGGGGUAACGGCCCACCUAGUCAACGAUGGAUAGGGGUUCUGAGAGGAAGGUCCCCCACAUUGGAACUGAGACACGGUCCAA
rnacentral:rRNA from 1 species